AAAAUACAAAAUUAGCCAGGCAUGGUGGCACAUGCCUGUAAUCCCAGCUACUCGGGAGACUGAGGCAGGAGAAUUGCUUGAACCCUGGAGGUGGAGGUUGCGGUGAGCCGAGAUCGCGCCAUUGCACUCCAGCCUGGGUAACAAGAGUGAAACUCCGUCUCAAAAA